ACCAGCAAAAUCUCGCGUCAGCGCCACUGUCGGCCGAGUCGCGUGAAUGUUUAGUUCCCUCAGUCGCCACUCGGUAUCCUCACAGUAUGUAUGAUAAAAAUUUGAAAUGACUAAUCCGUUCACAUUUCUUGUAAUGCACAUAAAAACUUACGCCUCUGAUCUCUGAUGUAGUGUUCGUGAUGUAAAUACUGAAAACUCGGUGUUUCAUGAUCAAUUAUUCUUCCCCAAUUAAGCCAGUGGCGGAGUAUCGUGAGAUCUACGAGUCAAAGAAUCAAUUAAAAAAAAGAUAAGAAGAAAGAAGGAGAUGAAAUAUUUGCCAGACUCAUCGAGAGUCGUGCGAACGACGCGCACUCGAGAUGAAUUUGCAAGAUACCGAUUGGCAGAUGUGUUAAAAACUUAAGAGAAUCAAUAAAGAUUCAUAAAGUCUGGCAGUGUAACGUGCCAGUAAAAAUGUUUACCACGUUCGCUCAACGCUUACUGAGUUACGACGAUUUUGGGCACCCGGAAAUCUGAGAGUAGAAAAAUCUCGCUUAUUUCGUUCCAUCUUUGCGUCCUUUCAUCGAUGACAGUUCUCCGCGUCAACAAACGAUGAAAAGCUUGUAAUUAAAUCUUCGAAAUUCACCGUCCAGCGCGAGCGGACAGCAUCCCUUUUUUUGCACUUCUGGAUUAAAACCGAGGGAUAUAAUUGAGUCGAGUACGGGAGCAAAUCGAGUGCAACAUCGAGCUCUCUUCGAACCCUUAAUGCACCGAUCGUAUUUCAAUGAGCAUAUUAAUCGUUCGGAUAGAUCGCGGCGGUACGAGCCGCAAAACACGGAGAGAUUUCACAGGGCACAGCCAGCCUGUGCACCAGAUAGUACGGAUAUAUACUCUGGUGCGACAGCGCCUUAUCCCAGAAGCCAACCUCACCGGAGGACAUACUUAAAUAGGGGGAACCGCGACAAAGAAACGCGAUUGCGUGUAUUGUAUUGUCGGUGGCCUCGUGACUGAUGUUCCUGCACACAUAGUACACGGUGUCGCUGCUGCUUCAGGUUGGUGCGGUAAAUCAUUGA